GUCUUUAUAGUUGAAUUAACAACGGUGGUUUUUCAGGUCAUAAGUCUUAGUUAAAAUCUAGGUGAAGAUA
rnacentral:tRNA from 1 species